AGGCUGCAGAGAGAGCAAGGGCAAAGGAGCUUUAAGAGGAGUGGGUGGUCCACACGCUGUAUUAUCGGGGAAAGGUCUGCAAACAAGGGUCACCUGCUACCCAGGAGACCCGCCCCAAGUGUAGCAACCCUCAAGGACCCUGGGCCCACAGGAGGGUGCUUGGCACUGAGCAUGGCAUCUACAAGUGGGCCAGGAGUGAGUCAGUGAGCGUGCCGCCCACUGUGAAGACCUGCCAGAGGACACACCGGGCAGCAGCCCCACAAGGAGGAAGCUCCGGGACUAUGCUUCCAACCAGUGUGCCUUUCCUUGCUCACAGGCUGCCUAGAACUGGCAAUACUGCGCCCUCAGCUUCCUGAACUCUGGGAUUACAAGUCAGUGCUAACACACCUGGCUACGACAUCCCUGUUAUGUUAUUGUUUUGUUUUGAGACAGGGUCUCUAACUGGAUGUCCUGGGACACACUGUGCAGACUAGGUGGCCCCAAACUCACAGAGAUCUGCCUACCUCCCAAGUGUCGGGAUGAAAGGCGUGUGCCACCACCACCACCACCUGGCUGACCACAUCACUUUUUUAAAGGUCUUUUCUUCUCUGCGAACCCCGUAAAGACAGAGGUUCAGACACCAUGAAGUAUUUGUCCUGAUGAAAGGAAUCAUUGCUUUGUUUUAUCUGGGAUACCGGGACUUGAACCAGAACCUUACCACUCUACCCAAGCUCUAACACUGAGCUCUGCCCCUCAACCCAUUUACUACCGGUUUGGGUUUUUUUUGUUUGUUUGUUUUAGAUAGGGUCUCAUGUACCCCACAAAUUGACCUCAAACUUAUUUUGGUAGUUAAGUAUGGCCUUAAAAUCUUGAUCCUCCUGCCAAGUACUAAAUGGCAGGUAUGAGUGA